rnacentral:misc_RNA from 1 species
GACGAACCGGACAAACGUUAUUCGGAAUCAUUGGGCUUAAAGGGUGCGUAGGCGGUGCGGAAAGUUGGAUGUGAAAGCUCUCGGCUCAACCGAGGAAUUGCGUCCAGAACUAUCGUACUCGAGGAAGGCAGGGGUGAGCGGAACUCACGGUGGAGCGGUGAAAUGCGUUGAUAUCGUGAGGAACACCGGUGGCGUAAGCGGCUCACUGGGCCUUUUCUGACGCUGAGCCGCGAAAGCCAGGGGAGCGAACGGG